UCUGAAGUCUUUUAUUUUCUGGGCUCAGAAGUGGGUGAAAUUGUUGUUCAGAAUUCUUGUCUUGGUUUUCUCUGAUGGUUUCUGUCAGGGUGUGUGGGAUGUAUAUAAUGUAUGUUUUUCUGUCAAGAAGGUGUGUGCACUAUGUAAAGGCUUCCUGUCACGCAAUAGUUUUAUGUUCGGCGUUGAGUCAUGACUGAGAGCGUCUGUCUGGCCGAGUCGGGAUGGGACUGCACCUGUGAACCUCAGCAACCGUGAGCAAUGCAAUGACUCCCUAUAGUUUUAUGGCUACCUCGUCAUGGAGGUUACUCAUCGCAGCAGUGUGCAGGAGUCUUCAGAAAUAUAUCCACAAAAGUGCACCCACAUGUUGGCAUGUUGCUUAACACAAAAUCACAAAGGGCCGACAUGAUUCAGAGUGUGUAGUUUUGGUCAGAAAGAAGUUUGCACGAUAACAGAGUCAUAUUAAACUGUCUGCAGCUACUCAUAAAGUAGUUAUAUAAUGCUCAAGCUGCUACUCUUUUGUACUUUAGUUGCCAUCACAAGCUGCUGACUAAAUGUGAUUGAAGGUAAAAGUAAAGGAGCUAUCAAAUAACAUAGGCAUAUUUGAUUAUUUUCACAUUCAGGUCAGAUCAGAAAACAGCUUUGCUACCCUCACUACUGUUCAAAAGUUUGGGGCUGGACGUAACGUGCAGAAGGAAGACGCGGCCGCUGCUGUCCCCACUGGAGCAGAGACGACGUGAGCCUUUGAUGUUCCACUCAAAAUUAUUAAUUCCCCGCGUCAGGUUCUGUGUUUCAUCUACAUUUAAAGUCCAAAUCUUGAGUGUGAGCAAAGCUUCUGCUAUGCAAAUCAGUGCCUAAUGUGCAUGCUGGGUUUGCUGGGGAUGUUUAAUGUAUUUUUUUUUUUUGUUGAGAAAAUUAAUGACAUCUGCGUCAGUUGAUAUUGAUCUAAAAUCUAGAUAGAUGCUCCCCGCUGUGCGUCAGACGAGCUUCAUGUCUUAGUGUGGCCUUCACAUCACUAGGACAAAAGUUUGAACACAUGAAACUAAAUCAAAUGUUUGAUCUUAAAAUGAAGACCUAUUAAAAGUUUAUCAAUAAAGCAAUGUUCAAUGACAAUUCUUUUAUCCCCCAUCACUGACUUUCCUGUGUGGAACUCGAACUGAAAUGUUCAUGCUGCUCUUUUUCAUAAAACAUGAAGUUAGCCCUUACAUGUCAUUUUUUAACUAACAAUAUUACCUUUUGAAGCUCUCAAAUCUCAUCACUCUCAUUGACAUUAAACCUGAAUCUCCAGGUUUGAAUAUGAAUGAGAUUUGAGCUACAGUGGAGGCUUUCAGGAAAGAACAACUGAAAAAUAUUUUUUUACACAUGAAACAAAUAGUGCUUUUAUAAAACAUGUAAUUGUGUAAAACUUUGUAGUAGUAUAGUUUAAAAUAAUAUAAUCAAGUGUAAACUGAAUGUAAUGUUUUCAGAUGCAUGUCAAUUGUAAGUUAAUUGCAAUUAAAAUGUAGGUUACACUUUAUUUUAAAAGUGAUGUUGUUACAGAGUAAUUACACACAAAAAAAAAAUACAAAGUAGUAUUGAUUAACAACAUGUACCUUUUAUAGGAUUAUGGUUAGUUACUUAAUUAUGCAUAAUUUACUGUUAUUACUAUACUAAGUGCAUGCAAUAUGUGUAACAAAAAAUGUAAUAUACUUUAAGUUUAUUAAAUGCAUUUAGCUAACCUUUAGAGUGUAUUAUUGGCCCACUGAUGUAGGACUUAAGUACAUCUUCAAUUGUAAUUUCAUAAUCAUAUGGAUAAGCAUUUAUGGUAAACUAAAAUGUACUUCAAUUGCAUUUCUAUUGAAACAUCUAUGUCAUGUAUUUAAAUGUAUUUAAAUUGAUGAAGCUGCAUUUCAUAUAUACUUUUAUAUGUUAUAUGUUAAUAUGUCAACAACUUUCACGUACAAAAAAAAAAAAAAAAGAUUAUUAAAACAUAGCGAUUUAAAAUGUACUUUAAAUUAGUUUUGGACUUUGACAGCUAGUGAUCAUCACUAAAUAAUUUCAAUGUGUGGUAAAGAAGAGCCAGGACAUUUUGCUAAAUGUGUACUUUUGUGACUAACAGAAAAAAUAUAUACAUUUUUUCUCACUCAUUUAUGUCGUGUUUGCUGCUU
ensembl:lncRNA